UACGUAGGGCGCAAGCGUUAUCCGGAAUUAUUGGGCGUAAAGAGCUCGUAGGCGGUUUGUCGCGUCUGCCGUGAAAGUCCGGGGCUCAACUCCGGAUCUGCGGUGGGUACGGGCAGACUAGAGUGAUGUAGGGGAGACUGGAAUUCCUGGUGUAGCGGUGAAAUGCGCAGAUAUCAGGAGGAGCACCGGUGGCGAAGGCGGGUCUCUGGGCCGAUACUGACGCUGAGGAGCGAAAGCGUGGGGAGCGAACAGG
rnacentral:rRNA from 1 species